GGAGUUUGGGCCGUGUCUCAGUCCCAAUGUGGCCGAUCACCCUCUCAGGUCGGCUACCGAUCGUCGACUUGGUGGGCCGUUACCCUACCGACUAGCUAAUGGGACGCGAGCCAAUCCGUGACCACCGGAGUUUUCAAUCAUUGGCCAUGCGACCAAUCAUGUUAUGGGGGAUUAGGCGACGUUUCCAUCGGUUAUCCCCCGGUCACGGGCAUGUCGCUCACGCGUUACGCACCCUUGCGCCGGUCGCCGCCAGAUGUAUUGCUACACCCGCGCUGCCCCUCGACUUGCAUGUGUUAAGCCUGCCGCUAGCGUUCAUCCUGAGCAGGAUCAAACUCU
rnacentral:rRNA from 1 species